CCACUUACAUUUCCUUAUCACUUUUCCAGCCCAGCUGCACACAGAUGUGUUGGACGGAGAACUGAUAAGGGCUUGUUUCUGG
rnacentral:pre_miRNA from 1 species